rnacentral:tRNA from 1 species
UUAUUGUAGUGUAGUUGUUAUCACGUUAGUCUUACACACUAACGGUCUCUAGUUCGAUCCCUGGUCAAUAA